AGUACAGACGUAGUUUGAUCAUGGCUACAGAACGAACGCUGGCGGCACGCCUAACACAUGCAAGUCGAACGAAGGCUUCGGCCUUAGUGGCGCACGGGUGCGUAACGCGUGGGAAUCUGCCCUUGGGUUCGGAAUAACUCAGAGAAAUUUGAGCUAAUACCGAAUGAUGUCGAAAGACCAAAGAUUUAUCGCCCAAGGAUAAGCCCGCGUAGGAUUAGCUUGUUGGUGAGGUAAAGGCUCACCAAGGCGACGAUCCUUAGCUGGUCUGAGAGGAUGAUCAGCCACACUGGGACUGAGACACGGCCCAGACUCCUACGGGAGGCAGCAGUGGGGAAUAUUGGACAAUGGGCGAAAGCCUGAUCCAGCAAUGCCGCGUGAGUGAUGAAGGCCUUAGGGUUGUAAAGCUCUUUUACCAGGGAUGAUAAUGACAGUACCUGGAGAAUAAGCUCCGGCUAACUCCGUG
rnacentral:rRNA from 1 species